GGCGCAUUAGCUGGUUGGAGGGGUAACGGCCCACCAAGGCGACGAUGCGUAGCCGACCUGAGAGGGUGAUCGGCCACACUGGGACUGAGACACGGCCCAGACUCCUACGGGAGGCAGCAGUAGGGAAUCUUCGGCAAUGGGCGAAAGCCUGACCGAGCAACGCCGCGUGAGUGAGGAAGGCCUUCGGGUCGUAAAACUCUGUUGCCAGAGAAGAACGUCCGAUAGUUAACUGCUAUUGGAGUGACGGUAUCUGAGAAGAAAGCCCCGGCUAACUACGUGCCAGCAGCCGCGGUAAUACGUAGGGGGCAAGCGUUGUCCGGAAUUAUUGGGCGUAAAGCGCGCGCAGGCGGUUGUUUAAGUCUGGGGUAUAAGUGCGGGGCUCAACCCCGUGAUGCCCUGGAAACUGGGGAACUGGAGUGCAGGAGAGGAUAGUGGAAUUCCACGUGUAGCGGUGAAAUGCGUAGAGAUGUGGAGGAACACCAGUGGCGAAGGCGACUUUCUGG
rnacentral:rRNA from 1 species